rnacentral:rRNA from 1 species
GUCCACGCUGUAAACGAUGACGACUAGGUGUGGGGGGUUCAGUCCCUUCCGUGCCGCAGCUAACGCAUUAAGUCGUCCGCCUGGGGAGUACGGCCGCAAGGUUGAAACUCAAAGGAAUUGACGGGGGCCAGCACAAGCGGUGGAGCAUGUGGUUCAAUUCGAUGCAGAGCGAAGAACCUUACCUGGGCUUGACAUGCAGGAAGUAGAAACCGGAAACGGCGACGACCUGUUAAGUCAGGAACCUGCACAGGUGGUGCAUGGCUGUCGU